rnacentral:lncRNA from 1 species
AUUUGCUAUACUGUAGCUCUCACUAGAGGCUACACCUGUUUGAGCCUUUAUGUAAAAUUUUAUUAUUUUUUCCCUUACAUAAAGUAAAAACACAUAUUACAAGGGGAAGGAAUAGUUUAUAUUUGUAGUCAAACAAAUUGCAAAUUUUAAUUAAGAGGAAACAGUCAAACUGGGCAAUUGAAUGGGUAUUUGGAUGAAACAGGUCAGGGAGGGAGGCAUGGGAGAUGCGUGGAGAUGUUGUAUUGACUUUUUAAAAUUUAUUUUCUCUGCAGAGUUUAUCAGAUGGACCUGCCUUAUGAGCUGACAUCACUAAGGACCAGAAUAAAAGUUGCCCUUAGGGCCCGUGGAAACAAGUCAUGAACAAAGCUGGUUUCACGAGUGCCUUGUACUAAGUGGUCUUGGACGGUUUCUGCUGUCUUCCCAUUGUGGUAGCCUUGAGGAAUGCCUUACUUCCUACCUUGAACAAACUCAGGUUGAUCAAAAAUGUGGCCCAGGGCUUUCUGCUGCUACCUCACCAUCAAUUUGAUUUGAAGAAGAGAGAAGGAACCAAAGACUCCAUCUGCAUUAGAUGCAGCAGGGAUCGAGGCGCUACCGCGGCCGGCCAGAGCAUGCACGCCCAGGAGCGGCAGCAAACGCAGCUCGGCUGCAGGCGGACGUGGCUACGUCCCAGGGAACCUGCAGGGCUGUUCUCUGCCCUUGGCUGCAGGAAAUUAAUUGUUUUACUCUGGAGAAGAUCCAGAUUGAUUCAGUAUUUGGCCCUGGCCAGCACCUGACUUGCAUGAAAAGGAAGAGACGUCAUCGCUGCUUCCCUGUGCUUCAGUGCUACCUUGGCCUGGCGUGGUGCUGCCUUUCGUUUGAUUCGCCUCCGCGAAAAUCGAGACGGUAGUUCUGCCAGGACCCCUGGUGAACACCGUGCCUAU